AGCUUCGUGCAGUGGCAGUAUUGUCACCAAUGAGAUUCAUCUGAGCAGAUUUGUUGCUAAUUGAGAACUUUUCCCAAUAUCCCACACUGAUGGACGACUUGAAAUAUAGUCGGCACUAGCAAUUUUUGGCAGUCUCUAAGGAGA